UUUACGCUUUUUGUUUUGACAGGACAAAAGUUCAUUAUCUUCUCAUAAUGCAACAAUUUUGCACAUUUUUGUUUCCCUUCAGGUCCAAGUGAGGCGGAGAGCUUCCAGCUGGAAAUGAGUGGGCUUUUGUCAGAGCUCAACUGUCCUUACGCUGUCCUCAACAGUGGAAGCAUCAGCCAAAGACUCCAAAACAGGAAAGACUGCCUUCUGCUCAUUACUUUUUUAGUGUCAGAGUUGGAGGCAUCGAGAAUGAUUGUCGUCAACAUUCCUCAGAAGAAGGGUCAGGACUCUGGUAGCCCCGUGUUUCAAGAUUUAAA